rnacentral:rRNA from 1 species
UACAGAGGUGGCAAGCGUUGUUCGGAAUUACUGGGCGUAAAGGGCGCGUAGGCGGCCUUGUAAGUCUCGUGUGAAAGCCCUCGGCUUAACUGAGGAUCUGCACGGGAUACUGCGAGGCUCGAGUUCGGGAGAGGAAAGCGGAAUUCCGGGUGUAGCGGUGAAAUGCGUAGAUAUCUGGAGGAACACCGGUGGCGAAGGCGGCGUCCUGGACCAACACUGACACUGAUGAGCGAAAGCCAGGGGAGCAAACGGG